GAUGAACGCUGGCGGCGUGCCUAAUACAUGCAAGUCGAGCGAACGGACGAGAAGCUUGCUUCUCUGAUGUUAGCGGCGGACGGGUGAGUAACACGUGGAUAACCUACCUAUAAGACUGGGAUAACUUCGGGAAACCGGAGCUAAUACCGGAUAAUAUUUUGAACCGCAUGGUUCAAAAGUGAAAGACGGUCUUGCUGUCACUUAUAGAUGGAUCCGCGCUGCAUUAGCUAGUUGGUAAGGUAACGGCUUACCAAGGCAACAAUGCAUAGCCGACCUGAGAGGGGGAUGGGCCACACUGGAACGGGGACACGUUCCAGACUCCUACGGGAGGCAGCAGUAGGGAAUCUUCCGCAAUGGGCGAAAGCCUGACGGAGCAACGCCGCGUGAGUGAUGAAGGUCUUCGGAUCGUAAAACUCUGUUAUUAGGGAAGAACAUAUGUGUAAGUAACUGUGCACAUCUUGACGGUACCUAAUCAGAAAGCCACGGCUAACUACGUG
rnacentral:rRNA from 1 species